rnacentral:rRNA from 1 species
AGUGAACGCUGGCGGCAGGCCUAACACAUGCAAGUCGAGCGGCAGCGCGGGGGCAACCCUGGCGGCGAGCGGCGGACGGGUGAGGAAUUCGUCGGAAUCUGCCUUUUUGUGGGGGAUAACGUAGGGAAACUUACUCUAAUACCGCAUACGUCCUACGGGAGAAAUUGGGUGACCGCAAGGCCUCACGCCUAAAGAUGAGCCGACGACCGAUUAGCUAGUUGGUGGGGUAAAGGCCCACCAAGGCGACGAUCGGUAGCUGGUCUGAGAGGAAGAUCAGCCACACGGGGAGUGAGAAAGGGCCAAGACACCUACGGGAGGAAGCGGUGGGGAAUAUUGGACAAUGGGGGAAAGCCGGAUACAGCCAUGCCGCGUGUGUGAAGAAGGCCUUCGGGUUGUAAAGCACUUUUGUCCGGAAAGAAAUCCCUGGAGCUAAUACCGUCGGGGGAUGACGGUACCGGAAGAAUAAGCACCGGCUAACUUCGUG